ACAAUCUCGGCUCACUGCAACCUCCGCCUCCCGGGUUCAAGCGAUUUUCCUGCCUCAGCUUCCCGGGUAGCUGGGACUACAGGUGUGGUGGCAUGUGCCUUUAGUCCCAGCUUACUCUAGAGGCUGAGGCAGGAAGAUUGCGUGAGCUCAGGAGUUCGAGGCUGCAGUGAGCUAUCAUCACACCACUCAGAGCAAGACUGUCUCCAAAACAGACAAGUGAACAAGAAAACAUUAGUGAUGGAUCUAAGGAAACUUAGCCAAGUUUUGAUAACAGAACCUGGGCGUUGUGGCAUACUCUAUAAAAAGCCAUUCAGCAGCCUUCAUCUACCUUUUAUUCUGCUUCACUUUUAUUUAACUUCUGUAGCCCUUUAAAAAAAAUCAAUCUUCUUGUUUUUAUUUAGUAUAACAGAAGAGAACUAUAAUUUCCUGCCACAUAGCCCCUCCAAGAAAGAUUCUGAAUGGAAGAGUGGAACAAAAGUCAGUCGUACAUUCAGCUACAUCAAGAAUAAAAUGUCCAGCAGCAAGAAGAGCAAAGUGAGUAUCACUGUGGGCAUUGCUUGUGAUCACCUCAGUAGGAUCCUGUCACAGCCUGCAUUCACACCAAAACUGGUUAAAU
rnacentral:sRNA from 1 species